rnacentral:siRNA from 1 species
AGGCUUAUAAGAUCCGGUUGUGG